GGUGAGUAACACGUGGGCAAUCUGCCCGCACUCUGGGACAAGCCCUGGAAACGGGGUCUAAUACCGGAUACUGAUCCUCGCAGGCAUCUGCGAUUCGAAGCUCCGGCGGUGCAGGAUGAGCCCGCGGCCUAUCAGCUAGUUGGUGAGGUACGGCUCACCAAGGCGACGACGGGUAGCCGGCCUGAGAGGGGACCGGCCACACUGGGACUGAGACACGGCCCAGACCCCUACGGGAGGCAGCAGUGGGGAAUAUUGCACAAUGGGCGAAAGCCUGAUGCAGCGACGCCGCGUGAGGGAUGACGGCCUUCGGGUUGUAAACCUCUUUCAGCAGGGAAGAAGCGAAAGUGACGGUACCUGCAGAAGAAGCGCCGGCUAACUACGUGCCAGCAGCCGCCGUAAUACGUAGGCGCAAGCGUUGUCCGGAAUUAUUGGGCGUAAAGAGCUCGUAGGCGGCUUGUCACGUCGGUUGUGAAAGCGGGGGGCUUAACCCCGGGUCUGCAGUCGAUACGGGCAGGCUAGAGUUCGGUAGGGGAGAUCGGAAUUCCUGGUGUAGCGGUGAAAUGCGCAGAUAUCAGGAGGAACACCGGUGGCGAAGGCGGAUCUCUGGGCCGAUACUGACGCUGAGGAGCGAAAGCGUGGGGAGCGAACAGGAUUAGAUACCCUGGUAGUCCACGCCGUAAACGGUGGGCACUAGGUGUGGGCAACAUUCCACGUUGUCCGUGCCGCAGCUAACGCAUUAAGUGCCCCGCCUGGGGAGUACGGCCGCAAGGCUAUAACUCAAAGGAAUUGACGGGGGCCCGCACAAGCGGCGGAGCAUGUGGCUUAAUUCGACGCAACGCGAAGAUCCUUACCAAGGCUUGACAUACACCGGAAAACCCUGGAGAAAGGGUCCCCCUUGUGGUCGGUGUACAGGUGGUGCAUGGCUGUCGUCAGCUCGUGUCGUGAGAUGUUGGGUUAAGUCCCGCAACGAGCGCAACCCUUGUCCCGUGUUGCCAGCAGGCCCUAGUGGUGCUGGGGACUCACGGGAGACCGCCGGGGUCAACUGGGAGAAGGUGGGGACGACGUCAAGUCAUCAUGCCCCUUAUGUCUUGGGCUGCACACGUGCUACAAUGGCCGGUACAAUGAGCUGCGAUACCGCGAGGUGGAGCGAAUCUCAAAAAGCCGGUCUCAGUUCGGUUGGGGUCUGCAACUCGACCCCAUGAAGUCGGAGUCGCUAGUUUUCGCAGAUCAGCAUUGCUGCGGUGAAUACGUUCCCGGGCCUUGUACACACCGCCCGUCACGUCACGAAAGUCGGUAACACCCGAAGCCGGUGGCGCAACCCCUUGUGGGAGGGAGCUGUCGAAGGUGGGACUGGCGAUUGGGACGAAGUCGUAACAAGGUAGCCGUACCGGAAGGUGCGGCGCGGCUCGCUGCUU
rnacentral:rRNA from 1 species